rnacentral:rRNA from 1 species
ACGCUAGCUACAGGCUUAACACAUGCAAGUCGAGGGGAAACGGCAUUUAGUGCUUGCACUGAAUGGACGUCGACCGGCGCACGGGGGAGUAACGCGGAUCUAACCUUCCCAUUACUGAGGGAUAACCUGCCGAAAGGCAGACUAAUACCGCAUAGUCUUCGAUGACGGCAUCAGAUUUGAAGUAAAGAUUUAUCGGUAAUGGAUGGGGAUGCGUCUGAUUAGCUUGUUGGCGGGGUAACGGCCCACCAAGGCAACGAUCAGUAGGGGUUCUGAGAGGAAGGUCCCCCACAUUGGAACUGAGACACGGUCCAAACUCCUACGGGAGGCAGCAGUGAGGAAUAUUGGUCAAUGGGCGAGAGCCUGAACCAGCCAAGUAGCGUGCAGGAUGACGGCCCUAUGGGUUGUAAACUGCUUUUGUAUGGGGAUAAAGUCAAUCACGUGUGAUUGUUUGCAGGUACCAUACGAAUAAGGACCGGCUAAUUCCGUGCCAGCAGCCGCGGUAAUACGGAAGGUCCGGGCGUUAUCCGGAUUUAUUGGGUUUAAAGGGAGCGUAGGCCGGAGAUUAAGUGUGUUGUGAAAUGUAGACGCUCAACGUCUGACUUGCAGCGCAUACUGGUUUCCUUGAGUACGCACAACGUUGGCGGAAUUCGUCGUGUAGCGGUGAAAUGCUUAGAUAUGACGAAGAACUCCGAUUGCGAAGGCAGCUGACGGGAGCGCAACUGACGCCUAAGCUCGAAGGUGCGGGUAUCGAACAGGAUUAGAUACCCUGGUAGUCCGCACAGUAAACGAUGGAUGCCCGCUGUUGGUACCUGGUAUCAGCGGCUAAGCGAAAGCAUUAAGCAUCCCACCUGGGGAGUACGCCGGCAACGGUGAAACUCAAAGGAAUUGACGGGGGCCCGCACAAGCGGAGGAACAUGUGGUGG